rnacentral:rRNA from 1 species
GACGAACGCUGGCGGCGUGCUUAACACAUGCAAGUCGAACGGAAAGGCCCUGCUCUUGUGGGUUGCUCGAGUGGCGAACGGGUGAGUAACACGCGAGUAACCUGCCCUUGACUUUGGGAUAACUUCAGGAAACUGGGGAUAAUACCGGAUAGGAGCUCCUGCUGCAUGGUGGGGGUUGGAAAGUUUCGGCGGUUGGGGAUGGACUCGCGGCUUAUCAGCUUGUUGGUGGGGUAGUGGCUUACCAAGGCUUUGACGGGUAGCCGGCCUGAGAGGGUGACCGGCCACAUUGGGACUGCGAUACGGCGCAGACUCCUACGGGACGCAGCAGUGGGGAAUAUUGCACAAUGGGCGGAAGCCUGAUGCAGCAACGCCGCGUGCGGGAUGCCGGCCUUCGGGUUGUAAACCGCUUUCGCCUGUGACGAAGCGUGAGUGACGGUAAUGGGUAAAGAAGCACCGGCUAACUACGUG